AUUGAACGCUGGCGGCAUGCCUUACACAUGCAAGUCGAACGGUAACAGGUCUUCGGAUGCUGACGAGUGGCGAACGGGUGAGUAAUACAUCGGAACGUGCCCGAUCGUGGGGGAUAACGAAGCGAAAGCUUUGCUAAUACCGCAUACGAUCUACGGAUGAAAGCAGGGGACCGCAAGGCCUUGCGCGAACGGAGCGGCCGAUGGCAGAUUAGGUAGUUGGUGGGAUAAAAGCUUACCAAGCCGACGAUCUGUAGCUGGUCUGAGAGGACGACCAGCCACACUGGGACUGAGACACGGCCCAGACUCCUACGGGAGGCAGCAGUGGGGAAUUUUGGACAAUGGGCGAAAGCCUGAUCCAGCCAUGCCGCGUGCAGGAUGAAGGCCUUCGGGUUGUAAACUGCUUUUGUACGGAACGAAAAGACUCUGGUUAAUACCUGGGGUCCAUGACGGUACCGUAAGAAUAAGCACCGGCUAACUACGUGC
rnacentral:rRNA from 1 species